CACAGGCCACCAAAGAAAUGCCUCUCCCCGCCCCCCCACCCCCGGCCAAUCUUUGCCAGCCCUGCGGCUAUCAGAUCUGUGGAAUAACCAGACAUGAUGCCUGGAGCUGAAGCAGCCAUCUUUGAACAUGAGGAAGACAGGCCCAAGAAUAAAGUGUCAAAAUGCUAAGCAGGUUAUCUAACAAUAUGGGAAGACCUCUCCAGCAAGAUGUUCACUAUAAAUCACGCUGACCCACCCUCCGUGGAACCUCUUGGAAGAAGAGCUAUAAAAAUAUGGCCAGCCAAAGCAUU